AUAAAAAUAAAAAAAAAAAUAUGCAGAAAAUUUACUUCAACUACAAACCAUUUUUAUUCGAUAUCCAAUCUUUCAAAAUUUUUAUUUUUCUAUUCAAUUUUUUAAUUUAUUUAAUUUGAGUUAGUAUAAUUAUGCAAUUUUAUUUUAUAAUUAUAAAUUUAUUAUUGGCCAUUCAUAUCGCAAAUGAUAAAAAAUUUAAUAGUUGAUAUCCAAGAUCCCAAAUUUAAAUAUUAAUCGAUUCACAUUUCUAGCUGUAUUUAUUUCCAAAAAAAAUAAAUAAAACGAAUAGCAUAUUAUUUGUCUCUAAAAUAAUUCAUAGUUCAAAUAAGUACGAUAUUUUUUUAUCUAUCUAAAAAUAAGAGGCAAUUGCUUAAAUAUUCCUAAAAAAAUUUCAAUUUUUUGAUUUAUCUCUCUUAGAAGGCUAAUAUUAAAAAUAUUUUUUCACUUUUCAAGUUAUUUCAAAUAUACUCUUAAACUUAAAUUUUGUUAGUGAACGGCUAGCAAUAGCCCUUAUCUCUGUAAAAUUAUUAUUUUAUCCUUUCAAAUAUACCAUUUUUUCAUCAUCAACUUUUCAUAUUUGUCCUUAAGUUAGGAACAAAAGAAAUAUUUUGAUUUUUUGUCUUUUCAAAUAUACUCCUCUACUAUCACGAACUUUUUUUAUUUGUCUUAAGUUAAGGACAAAAGAGGUAUUUUGAUUUUUUUAACUCUGGUAAAUAUUUAACUCACGUUUAAUCUGAAAUAACUUAACGGGUAGUAAUUCCCUGAAUACUGUUUAAUAACAAAGUAAUAAAUGAGAAGUAUAUUGAAAAUUUAAAAAACUAAAUAUAAAUUAAAUAUUUUUAAAUUUUUGAGAGGUAUAUAUAUAUAGAGUUGAGCUGGAAUGUUAUUGAUAGCAAACGGACUCCGUUGCCACCCAUUUGUUUUCGAUGAUGGAGCCUGCAAAUCGAUGAUCGGCAUCAUUGAACAUGAUCUAUACCAAUUGAAGUAUCUAGAAACCAAAUUUCAAAUCUUUUCGACAUCAUUGACCUAAUGAUCAAAGGGUUUCAAAAUUUGUAAUUUUAAUGGUAGAUACGAGGCAUUUUCUCGUUUAACGGUAUAAAGUUAUCCAAAUCAAUUGAAUUUUGGUUAGAAAAUUCUUUAAACUAUUUAGAAUGAGAUCUAUACUCUCGAUCUUGAUUACAAAAUUCCUAUCAUCAUUUUUUAGAGAAUAUUCAUUUUCAACCGUUCAUUUUUAUGUCCACUUGAUGGACAAAAGAACAAUAUCGGAAAAGUAUGAAAUUUGAUUUCUAGAUAUUUCAAAUGGUAUAG
rnacentral:lncRNA from 1 species